GAUGAACGCUGGCGGCGUGCCUAAUACAUGCAAGUCGAGCGAACAGACGAGGAGCUUGCUCCUCUGACGUUAGCGGCGGACGGGUGAGUAACACGUGGAUAACCUACCUAUAAGACUGGGAUAACUUCGGGAAACCGGAGCUAAUACCGGAUAAUAUAUUGAACCGCAUGGUUCAAUAGUGAAAGACGGUUUUGCUGUCACUUAUAGAUGGAUCCGCGCCGCAUUAGCUAGUUGGUAAGGUAACGGCUUACCAAGGCAACGAUGCGUAGCCGACCUGAGAGGGUGAUCGGCCACACUGGAACUGAGACACGGUCCAGACUCCUACGGGAGGCAGCAGUAGGGAAUCUUCCGCAAAGGGCGAAAGCUUGACGGAGCAACGCCGCGUGAGUGAUGAAGGUCAUCGGAUCGUAAAACUCUGUUAUUAGGGAAGAACAAAUGUGUAAGUAACUAUGCACGUCUUGACGGUACCUAAUCAGAAAGCCACGGCUAACUACGUG
rnacentral:rRNA from 1 species